rnacentral:rRNA from 1 species
UACAGAGGUCUCGAGCGUUGUUCGGAUCAUUGGGCGUAAAGGGCGCGUAGGCGGCGGGGUAAGUCUGGUGUGAAAUCUCGGAGCUCAACUCCGAAAUUGCACUGGAUACUGCUCUGCUAGAGGGCUGGAGAGGAGAUCGGAAUUCACGGUGUAGCAGUGAAAUGCGUAGAUAUCGUGAGGAAGACCAGUGGCGAAGGCGGAUCUCUGGGACAGCUCCUGACGCUGAGGCGCGAAGGCUAGGGGAGCA